GUUCAUUGGUUCAUACUCCACUUCCCCCAGUAUUGAAGCUCUCUGGUUUACAUUGUUUGCGACUGGUUCCUCCUGUUGUUACCCUGACUGCUUCCCUGACUGCAUGCUCCUGUCAUUUUCCUGCUUAUGUUAUCCACCUUCCUGAGACCCUGUACCAGGUCAAACUGUAGCCCCACAACAUGACGCUGACACCACCAUGCAUGCUUUUGUAGUCCACACAGAGAUGGGGCAAUCAUCAAUCCGAGCGGCCUGCAGCAGCUGUCUGACAGAAUUAGCUCCAGGUGA